UCUAUCUGGGCUCGUCAGGAAAGUUCGUUUCAGGGACCUUUCUUCUCCGUCGUCUCUAACCCAAACCCUAAUCUUCAUCUUCCAACCAACAUGUCGCACUUCGGAAGGUCCGGUCCUCCAGAUAUUGCAGACACCUAUUCGCUUCUCGUGCUCAACAUUACCUUCCGAACCACUGCUGAUGAUCUCUACCCGCUGUUCCACAAGUAUGGUAAGGUUGUCGAUAUCUUCAUCCCCAGAGACCGAAGAACUGGUGAUUCUAGAGGUUUUGCAUUUGUGCGUUACAAGUAUGCAGAUGAGGCUCAGAAAGCAGUGGAAAGGCUAGAUGGUAUUGUGGUUGAUGGACGAGAGAUCACCGUUCAGUUUGCAAAAUAUGGUCCAAAUGCAGAAAGGAUUCACAAAGGAAAGGUCAGUGAAUCAUUUCCAAAGUCGAGAUACAGGUCUAGAAGUCGCAGUCCACGGAGACGACAUCGGGAUGAUCACAGAGAUAGGGAUUAUAGGAGAAGAAGUCGAAGCAGAAGUAGAAGCAGAAGCUUGGACAGGAUUGAUCAUGAUAGGCGUGGAAGAGAAAGGGAGAGGGAAAGAGACUAUCGUAGGCGAAGCCGGAGCAUCAGUCCUAGGCGGCCUAGUCCUGAUUAUUCCAAGGGGAGGGGAAGAGGACGCUACAUUGACGAGCGUAGAAGCCGCAGCCGCAGCCGCAGCCGCAGCCGUAGCCAUAGCCAUAGCCAAAGUCGUGGCCGUGGUCGUGGUCGUUCUGUGGAUAGGUUUGCUUCUCCUGGUCGACAAAGCCCUAGUCCAAGGAGUGCAUCUCCUCAUAGGAGUCCAUCUCCCAGGGGUGAAAGUCCUGAAAGAAAUGGUGAUGGUGGAAGGUCUCCAACUUCCAGGAGUGUUUCACCCCGAGGUCAACCUGCUGAUUCAAGAAGCCCAUCUCAACCAAAUUCAGAUGUUGAUAAGUGAAUACACUGAUGGAUGCAAGGAGAACUGUUGACAUUUCCGAGCAGUGCAGGAAUGGAUGCUUUGAGGACUCGUUGAUUAAAAAUGUUAUCAGACUAUAAGUUCUAGUUUUGUUAUGUUCGGGGUAAGAGUGACCGGCGCCUGAUUUGGCCGAUGUUGAUUUUGUGGCUCUUGAUGCUGUUUCUGUGUGAUAGAUGGGUGAUCGUGACUUUGAUGCUGGUUGCAGCAGUUUGCUGAUUUAUCAGUAUGAUUGUCUAUGCAGUAUGAUGUUGCUGUGGACAGUGUCUUAACUAAUAUUCACUGGAUGAAAAAAUUAUUGGUAAGGUUUUGGCCACAUUUUAAAUGUUUUUAAAAACUUGAUAAUGCUUUUAGGAUUUGAUGUUUGGCCUGAUUAUUCAUUCUGGUCUAUCCAAGUUUUGAAAGUUGCACCUCACCUGCCAAGGAGAUCUAGAGGCUUUGAUAUAUAGGGUUGACCCUCCUCUGUUGAUCGAAUUUUACUCAUAGCUGAUGAUGCAUUUGAGAUCGGUAUUGAUUUUAAUGGCGAAGGCUGGAUUAAGAAAACUUAGCUGCAGGUUUGAUCUUUGCGUCCGAACAUGAUUGGCCACGGUAACAUAAGUUUAUAGUUUUGUGUAUUAGUUUAUAGUUGUGUAUUAUCCGAACAUGACAGGUACUAUCCCAAACAUUUAAAUCAAUCUCUUGCUUGCUGCUUGAUGUGGUGACUGACUUAUUGUAGCUUUUGGAUACACAAUUGUUGCGGUGGUGUUUGAUAGCAGAUAUCUUUAUUGAUGUACGAUAGUCAUCGGUUCGAUUGAUUGAUUGAUUCUGAAGUGCUAACGCUGUAGCUGGCUGUUGCUGCCCUUGUGGGGGUGAGGCUGGCAAUGAUGUUUGCAGUUUGCUUUGACAAUGGAUGCAUUGAUCUUUGCUUGCCUC